rnacentral:rRNA from 1 species
AUGACAAGCGUGACCAAAAAUCAGUUUGGUUUCAUGCCUGGGAGGUCGACCAUGGAAGCCAUUUUCUUGGUACGACAACUUAUGGAGAGAUAUAGGGAGCAUAAGAAGGACUUGCAUAUGGUGUUCAUUGACUUGGAGAAGGCCUAUGAUAAGAUACCGCGGAAUGUCAUGUGGUGGGCCUUGGAGAAACACAAAGUCCCAGCAAAGUACAUUACCCUCAUCAAGGACAUGCACAAUAAUGUUGUGACAAGUGUUCGAACAAGUGAUGUCGACACCGAUGACUUCCCGAUUAAGAUAGGACUGCAUCAGGGGUCAGCUUUGAGCCCUUAUCUUUUUGCAUUGGUGAUGGAUGAGGUCACAAGGGGUAUACAAGGAGAUAUCCCAUGGUGUAUGCUCUUUGCGGAUGAUGUGGUGCUAGUUGACGAUAGUCGGAUGGGGGUAAAUAGGAAGUUAGAGUUAUGGAGACAAACCUUGGAAUCGAAAGGGUUUAGGCUUAGUAGAACUAAAACCGAGUACAUGAUGUGCGGUUUCAGUACUACUAGCUGCGAGGAGGAGGAGGUUAGCCUUGAUGGCCAGGUGGUACCUCGGAAGGACACCUUUCGGUAUUUGGGGUCAAUGUUGCAGGAGGAUGGGGGUAUUGAUGAAGAUGUGAACCAUCGAAUCAAAGCCGGAUGGAUGAAGUGGCGCCAAGCUUCUGGCAUUCUCUGUGACAAGAGAGUGCCACAAAAGCUAAAAGGCAAGUUCUACAGGACGGCGGUUCGACCCGCAAUGUUGUAUGGCGCGGAGUGUUGGCCGACUAAAAGGCGACAUGUUCAACAGUUAGGUGUGGCGGAGAUGCGUAUGUUGAGAUGGAUGUGUGGCCACACGAGGAAGGAUCGAGUCUGGAAUGAUGAUAUACGAGAUAGAGUUGGGGUAGCACCAAUUGAGGAGAAGCUUGUCCAACAUCGUUUGAGAUGGUUUGGGCAUAUUCAGCGCAGGCCUCCAGAAGCUCCAGUGCAUAGCGGACGGGACGAGCAGAAUUAA